rnacentral:rRNA from 1 species
GAACUUUCCAGAGAUGGAUUGGUGCCUUCGGGAACUUAGAUACAGGUGCUGCAUGGCUGUCGUCAGCUCGUGUCGUGAGAUGUUGGGUUAAGUCCCGCAACGAGCGCAACCCUUUUCCUUAUUUGCCAGCGGGUCAUGCCGGGAACUUUAAGGAUACUGCCAGUGACAAACUGGAGGAAGGCGGGGACGACGUCAAGUCAUCAUGGCCCUUACGGCCAGGGCUACACACGUGCUACAAUGGUCGGUACAAAGGGUUGCUACCUCGCGAGAGGAUGCUAAUCUCAAAAAGCCGAUCGUAGUCCGGAUCGCAGUCUGCAACUCGACUGCGUGAAGUCGGAAUCGCUAGUAAUCGCGGAUCAGAAUGCCGCGGUGAAUACGUUCCCGGGCCUUGUACACACCGCCCGUCACACCAUGGGAGUUUGUUGCACCAGAAGUAGGUAGUCUAACCGCAAGGAGGACGCUUACCACGGUGUGGCCGAUGACUGGGGUGAAGUCGUAACAAGGUAGGCGUAGAUGA